UGCAAUAGCACGCCUAGGAAAAAGACCUCCGUUUGCAAAAGAGUUCAUCUUCCUUGGUCUCUUUUCACAGGAACUUCUGCUGCCCCAGUCCUCAUUUUGUAAUUCUAUUUUACGUGUCGCUUUGGGAAUAAAAGAGUGUGUGGAAAGAGAGACGGUGGGUCUCAAACUUUCAGCAAGAAGCAGCGGCUUUCAGCGCCCGAGGAACAAAGAGGGCGCCUUCUCCCGGUCAUCCACGGAAGUUCCAGUUCGCGCACUUGGGCUCGCUCCGUUCACACUCCGCGUUUUUUCCGCCUGGCGCAAAAGCCAAACUCUUCCGCCAGCGAUCUCGGUUCUGGGCGCUCCGUUGUGGGCGGAGAAAGCUCGGUGGUCCCUCCCUGGAAGGCCCCCUUCGCCCUUCCACGGCUGCUUUGGAGCCUGGGCUGACCCGCGGACUCGCUCCGUGGGAAGGGAGGGCAGCUGAACCUCCAUGAUGAGCGCCAGGCGUCCUGCGUGGGGAAGGCGAAGGGGCAGAAGUCCUUCCGCGGCCCAGGAGUUUCCAGUGUUUGUGUAACAAUACCUCCUUACUAGCGGACAGCACAAUUUAUGUCUGUAUUAUUGUACUGGAUGCGCCUACCGCGACAGGAAGAAGAGAAACUGGAGCAGUGGACCGGAAAGCUGAGUAGUGGUGGCAGAAACAGAAGUGAGUUUGAAAGAGACAGAAGAACAAGCCUCCUGUCCAUCAUAGCUCUGCCUCCAUCAACAUCUGCCAAUGCAGCCACAGUCCGGAAAAAAGAGGAACAGAGAGAUUCAGAACCCAUUAUACUCCCAGUUCGACCCUCAUAGGAGUAUGACUAAAUUUAUUUGUUGGUCUGACUACAUUAUGGUUUCUCUCCCAUUUUGUCCCAUGUUGAGAUAGCUAAGUUUGAUGUAUUUUCUGGCAACUACAUGAUGUAAAGCUAAUCACAAACCAGCCAAAGGUGUUUUUUUUUUUAAAGCGACUGGGAACUCAUUGUUUCACCUUGGUUUUCAGCAUGUGUGAUCACACAUGUACCAUUUCAAACCAGCAGGGUGGCACUGAUGGUGAGAGAGGGGUGGAGCAAAGUGGUGUAGAGCAUAACCAAAUUCUCUUCUUCAGUUCACUCUGCUGCAGACUUCUUUAAAAAUAU